rnacentral:rRNA from 1 species
UACAGAGGUCUCAAGCGUUGUUCGGAUUCAUUGGGCGUAAAGGGUGCGUAGGCGGCGCGGUAAGUCGGGUGUGAAAUUUCGAGGCUUAACUUCGAAACUGCAUUCGAUACUGCCGUGCUUGAGGACUGGAGAGGAGACUGGAAUUUACGGUGUAGCGGUGAAAUGCGUAGAUAUCGUAAGGAAGACCAGUGGCGAAGGCGGGUCUCUGGACAGUUCCUGACGCUGAGGCACGAAGGUCAGGAGGAGCAAACGGG